GUCAAGUCAUCAUGGCCCUUAUGUCCAGGGCUACACACGUGCUACAAUGGGCGGUACAGAGCGGAGCGAAGCCGCGAGGCGCAGGCGAAUCGCCUAAAGCCGCCCGUAGUCCGGAUUGAAGUCUGAAACCCGACUUCAUGAAGUUGGAAUCGCUAGUAAUCGGAGAUCAGCAUGCUCCGGUGAAUACGUUCCCGGGCCUU
rnacentral:rRNA from 1 species